UGUCACCUUUCAAUAUUUCUUUAACCCCACUCCACUCGAUGAACCUGAAAGGUAAUAAUAAUUUCUGAAUUAUUCUAUUCAGCUAUUUUUACUGAUUCACUUGUAGUUUAUAUAUUUUAAGUUGUAUGGUGAUGAGUUCAUAAAAUAUUAGUACAACUCUAGCCAUUAUUCCUUUACUUCCAGAGCUGGUUACGGAACUGCCUGAGGGUUUGAAUCUUUAGAAUAUGUUGGAAGAUGCCUAGAUUGGUAGUGGAGUUGGUGUUGACUGGCAAGACCAGAGGUUUCCCUAGAAGCUUAAAACUUAAUGCAUCUAUGUUUGGCAUUUAUAUAUUGUAUAGUUGGACUGGGCUGAUGCUUAUGGACCACUUGUGGAAUCGAACCCCAAAACGAAUAGGCUUGACUGGCCUGGCCUCGGAUACAGGAUUGUAGAAUAAUUUAUUUGGGAGCUCCGCUUUAAUAAUUUGUAGAAAUUACACCGUGAACCUCAAUUUUGGUGUCUUUAGUACUGUUUGUAAUCUCCUUCAUGGUAAAAGGAAAUUGGGUACUCUGUUUCGAAAAAUCUUUUUCGUUGGUGUAAUUGAUGAAACUUAGCAAAAACUUCGGUUGUGAUCUGUAUUAUGUUCAUUAGAGGCAGCUUUUAUUGCAAA